rnacentral:misc_RNA from 1 species
GGAGAUGACGGCGGGUCUAGCUCUUCUUUUCCGUUGAUUAACGAGUUAGCACUUGUGAAUAGUGAGAGUUUUAAGGUGUAUUGUAAAGGACUGAAGAGUAAAGAGAUGAUUAGGGAAAUGAAUGUUGUAGUAGGUGGGGUUGGUGUGGCAAUUUGUGAUUCGAGGGACAAUGUGAUUUUUGAGGUGAGUAAGGGUUUGGAGGAGGAUUCUUGUGGUAAAGGGAAAGACGUGAGUAGUGAAGAGGCGGUUCAGAUUGAGGCUUUGAUUGAAGGGUUGAAUGCGGCUUUGAGUUUGGAUUUGAAAAACGUCACCUUCUUUUGUGAUGACUUUAUGGUAUAUCAAUAUGUGACAGGAAGAGUUCAACCAAUUCAAAAUAGAAUUUCAACCUUAGUCAAUCAGGUGUCUCUUCUUCAGAAAAAGUUUACAGAUUGUAAGCCAUCCCUUGUUGCACGUAACGAUGUAAAGUUUGCCUUUAAACUGGCAAGAGAUGCUAUAGUUUCUCAGAUAACCUGGUCUACUGAAUCUGGCAAAGGCAAAAAGAGUUCGAAGGAGACUUGUGUAAUUUGCUUUGAGGAUACAGAUGUGGGUCAGAUGUUUUGUGUUGAUGGUUGUCUGCAUAGAUAUUGCUUUUCUUGUAUGAAACAACAUGUUGAAGUGAAGCUACUUAAUGGGAUGGAGGCUAGGUGUCCUCAUGAAGGCUGUAAAUCUGAAGUGAGUAUUGAUGCUUGUGAAAAAUUUCUAGAUCCAAAAUUAGUUGAGAUCAUGAUUCAAAGGAAAAAAGAAGCUUCUAUUGCAGUACCGGAGAAGGUGUAUUGUCCAUAUGUGAAAUGCUCAUCAUUAAUGUCAAAAAAUGAGGUCCUGGAAUACACCAAUGCUUUCGUUGUUGGUGCUGAAAAAUCUGGAGCUAGGAAAUGUGUGAAAUGCCAUUAUUUUUUCUGCAUCAACUGCAAGGUCCCAUGGCACAAUAAUUUGACUUGCUAUGAUUAUAAAAGAUCUAAACCUCAAUGUGCAGAAGAUGCAAUGCUCGAUUCCCUUGCCAAAAAGAAACUUUGGCGCCAAUGUGUGAACUGUAGCCAUAUGGUUGAACUUGCUGAAGGUUGCUACCACAUCACUUGCAGAUGUGGAUAUGAGUUCUGUUAUACUUGUGGAGCUCCAUGGAAGAAUAAGAAAGCAACUUGUGGCUGCCAAAUCUGGGAUGAGCGGAACAUUAUACGCAAUGGACAAAGGCAGUGAUCUACUGUUACCAUGCCUAUAAACUAAGAUUUAUGUGUAGCAGUCUAUCAACUCUUUUUCGCACCUUGUUUUUUUUACCUUGGAAAUAGGACUGGAAGAACUUUUUGGUUUUUUGCAUAUGUUUCCAGCGAACUGGAUGAAACAAUGUAGAUAUACUGCACAAGGAUACCAUAUUCACAAAACUUUUUGUUCAAUUUUAGCAUUCGGAGCUUUUCUACGCUUUGAUUUUUGUUUUGUCCUUUAUGUAAGUUGUGGACUUAUUUCUAGAGAUAUAAGGAAAACAUUGUAGAG